rnacentral:lncRNA from 1 species
GGAGAGCCCUAAAUUGAAGAGUGGGGCAACUCACCGGAAAGGAAGGAAGAACGGCUCCGAGAGCGUCAAAGGAGGAGCGAACGAACAGUUCGGCGGCAACGGCAGCGGCACAAGGGAGAAACUUGAAGAUGCCUGUGAAGAGAAAGGCGGACGGGGGAGGGCCCCCGGUUAAAUAGGCGGAAAGGCGGGUGACGCCUCGGUGACGCCAGAG